UCUUAGCUUGCUUCUCUCCUCCCCGCAACCCCCUCCUUUGGAAACAGACUUUGCCAUGAAUUUGAUUUUUCAUCUUGAGAGAGGAGGGACUUGGCCUUGCUCCUAAGAAGGUAAUUUUUUAUUGGCCCGUGUUCUUGCCUUUAACGUUUCAGGAAAAUUGUAAGAAUGCUAGUGAUGCAAUAGCCCCUGCUGCUUCUGGAUCAAAUAUGAGGACCUGGUACAAGGAUACACAGACUGCUUCCAAACCUUAGAGGAACUCUUGAAUUAGCUUCUCAUAAACUUUUCGGGGGCUUUGAGCUGGUUGUUUCUGGAAUCCUCCACUUUCCUUUGCCGUAAAAUUUUAAUAGCCCACACUUCUGUGAUCAAGACAUUGAAGAACAAGUCACCUGCUGCUUAUGCAAUGGGCUUAUGCUUGUAAGCAGGGAUCAUAUGGGAACCAGAGAUUUGUUCAGUUUUUAACCAGCCUUUCAGAAAAUAGUAUGAUGACGAAGCAUUAGUCCUAAAAAGGGGGUCAAGUUUAAUCUCUCUUAAGGACAAAGAAACAGCCAUCACCAGGACAACUGUUUGGAACAGGAUUUGAAGGUAAGAGAGUUGGUGAAGUUCCUGUAAGAACAACGAGAUGCAGUUCCAUAUGCUUAUCACUUGGGCUCUGAGCUCCAUAACCUUCAAGCCAUUAAAUCCCAAGGAGCCCCUCUUUUCUAGCCUGAAAAAGGGGGGGGGGGGCGUGCCGCUGCUGCAAGAAGGUAGGUACUAUUUCUUUUUAAUAUGUAGCACAGAAGUAGUUUAGAAUUCUUAAAGUUCUGUAGUGAGUUUGUCUGAGUCAAUAAGUCUCUCUCUCUCUCCCUUCCUCACCCCCCCCCAUGUGUUUUAGGGCAUUGGUACAGGAAGCCAGUGUGGUAUGGCAGUAGAUUACUGUUCUUUGUCUUGAGAGAUCACUCAGCCACGGAGAUCAUUGGGUGAUCUUCAGCCAGUUGUUCUCUCUAAUCCUAACCUGACAAUGUUGAUUUGAGGGUAAAGUGGGAUAAACCCUCACCUGCUUGUGCCACCAGCCUCAAUGAAGGAAAUUUGAGAUAUGAAUGUGAAUGCUAGGACCACCACCCUCACUAAUAACAAUUGCAUUCUUACUGGUUAGGGCCCAUAGGUUAGACUACCCUAGUAGUGGUUAAUUAAUGAGACAAAAACGGGAAGGUGAAAAACCCAGAGAGAGAGAAAGGAGGAGGGCUGGAUGAGAGGAGGGCAGAGUUGUUUACUCUGAAUCACAGUGCAGAAAAAGAAAUUUCAUCCGGUUCACCCCUGCAUGACAAAUCGUAGCUACCAAAAUUCCCUCCUUCGUAUCUAUGGGUUGUAGCCCAUUUUAGUUCUCCCUAGAGUAGGCCCAUUGAAGUUAAUGGGCAUAGCUAUCUCGGGUUCAUAAAUUUCAACAGGUCUACUAUGAGCAGGACUAACAUUGGAUACAACCCUAUAUCUAUAUCUGGUAAUAUCUGGUAAUAAAUAUAUAUAUAUCUAUAUCUGGUAUAUUUAACAACAAACAGAGGGUUUGAUGUUGCAGCUUUGGGUUUAAAUUGGGUUCUAGGUCAGAGGAAGUUGAACACUGCUGUUCUGUUAGUUCAUGCACAGCAACUAUGAAUUGCAGAGAUUACCAGUGUCCGACAGUACUGGCCUUUUCAUUGGCCAGAGUCAGGUGGCCACCUAAAGCAGCUAGCUUGGAGUUUCAUGAAAGGGCAGCAUGUUGUUUUGCUUUUUUCACAAAUGCUCCUAAUUACAGUCCCCUGUCAAUGACAGUACCCAGUUACCCUAUGGAAAACAAGAACUUGCGGAAUCAUAGAACUGUAGAGUUGGAAGGUACCUUCGAGGGUUGUCUAGUCCAAUCCCUUGCAAUGCAGGAAUCUAAAUGUAACUAAAUGCACACACAAAAAUAUAUACACUAAAUAUAUGAAUGCUGUUUUAAUGCAUUCUGGUCUUCCAAGUGGUUGCAGCUCUCUGAGAGAUGUCUUUGUGCGAAAGACACACAUUGGAGUCAAAAUGUACUUUUGUUGUUGAAAUUUCAUUUCUGUGCUGUCCUAUAUAUAUAUAUAUAUGGCCAUCUGUCAUGGGUGCUCUAGUUGAGAUUCCCACAAUUCUAUGAUUCUAUGGUCUAUAUUUUGCCUCUAAUUAGAGUGUCAGUCUUUAGCUGGGUGGAAUUCCCUCCCCAUUAAAUAUCAGACAGGCAUUAUCUUUAAUGACUUUUCGGUGCUCACUGAAGAUCUUCCUACUGUAUGCAAAAUACCAAUUUUAUAUAACAUAUACUGUAUAAAAGUAAACGCCCUGAGAGUGCUGCACCUAUGUGAGUUUUCAGUUUAUUUUUAUUUAUUCCUGUUUAGGUCAUCCUUGUUGCAUCUGAUUGUGAAAUUCAGCCAUGUCUCCCCCACUUAACACAAACUUGGGCUACACCCCUCCUGAUGGGGGAUGGGGAUGGGCAGUUGUCUUUGGAGCAUCUAUAUCUGUUGGAUUUGCGUACUCCUUCCCUAAGGCUUUCACAAUCUACUACAAAGAACUCCAGGCUGUUUAUAAUAUCUCCUAUGGCCAGAUUGCAUGGGUGUCUUCAAUUAUGUGUGCCACAACCUAUGGAGGAGGUAAGUGAAUUGAAAAUGUUUCUUUCGCCCCAUAAAGCGGAAAAGAAGAAUCCUCCAUACCUCAAAACCUUAGUUCUUCUAGAAGGUUCUUGAGCAUAUUAAGCCAAGCUGUACAUAUCAUCCAGCUAAAUAGAAUCCAUCAAAUCGGAGAGGCUUUCAUGGAAAUAAAACAUUCUCUUUGCAGAAUUUUAUAUUUCAUGCAAUCUCUCACUGAAGUUUCAACCAAUGAUGCCAACUUGAAUAAAAUAUAGGUGGGGCAGAUAAACCCCACCUUGCAUAAUAAAUCACAAGACGUGGCACAUGCACACCAUUUGCAUGGCAAUGCCCAUUAACCUGGGGGGGGGGGCAGCUCCCUCAAAUAUUUUACUGGGGGGACCGAAGGAACCUUGGCCCCUAGGAGUUGGCUCCUAUGGUCUCAACUGUUGCUAAAAAUGGUGAACUGCCACCAUUUUAUGGACUGGAAACAUUCUGUUGAGGAGCUGAGUUGGGGUUUUUUUUAAUGAUUGUAUUAACUUUAUUUUUCAGUCUUUCUAGAUCAUUUUGUAAAGAUUUUUUAUUUCUGUGCAACUUAUCAAUAAGACAGACUUUAAAUUGCUUUGGGUAGGAUUCAUGGGGUUUUAUUGCAAGGGCUUCUGCUUGUGCAAUGGGACUUUCUCUCUCUUCUCCCCCUGCGUCCCCCAAAAUUUCGGCUCAGGAGAACCCCCAGAAGAGUAUAUGGGGAGAGCGGGGAUCCAUCUGUCAGGCAAGCUCAUACGUCUGAGCAGAUGAAACAUUUGUAUUAGUGCGGCAUUUAAUUCUACUCUUUUGAUCUCAUUCUAUUAUCCCACAUCAAUACAGUGGUACCUCUAGUUGCAUGCACCUCUGGAUAUGUAUCCUUCAAGAUACGCACACGGCAAACCCGGAAGUAUUUUUCUGGGUUUCAUUGUGCGCACAUGCGCAGAAACACUCUACUGCACCGUGCGCAUGUGCAGAAGCGCUCUACCAUACCGCACACAUGUGCAGAACAGGUACCUCCAGUUACAAAAACCUUGGGAUCCGACUGGAGCUCUGGCAUGGAUCCUGUCCGCAACCGGAGGUACCACUGUAUAGGCCCUUCACAUAGAUGGUGUUGUUGGAGGGUGGUGCUUCUCCUUACUUUUGUUAAUGAAAAAUAAAAACAGCAACGAAACCUUGUCAAACAGAUCCUUCUUCACCAUUGUGGUGAUCACACAGGGUCCCCGGACGUUUAACGGUCUAUUGAUCCCUGUGCCACCACUGUGCUUGCUUCCCUGCUGCCACCAACCCAUUACUCUCGGGUAAAACAAUGAGUCCAGUCAGUUGUUAAAAUUGAACCAAAUAAAGAAGUUUAUUUUAUAAGCAUUAACAAGUUUAUGGUUUCUCAGAUAAUAUUCUUGUCAGUUUCUUAACUUUAGUUUCUUUACCGGCCUAUACCUUCUGACUGAUUAUUUUAACUGUUUGACUGACUCCUCUUAACAGAUUCUCUCACAUCAGACUAGCCCAACCCACAGACUUAUCCUCUCUCUCUUCUCUAACUCCAGACUAACUUCUCAACCCCCCUAACUCUAACACCUCCCCUUGGGUUCCCAUUGGUUAGUCAUUUUACAAUUAGUUAACCCUUUCCUUAUGAACCCAGUAUGAUGUCGCACACCUAGGAGAGCAAACGCCACAACCAUACACCCCCAAUUAUCUGCUGAUGUUGGGUGAGAUGCUUUGGCAGAGCUAUGUCCCCGUAUGAUGGCCUAACAGAGGACAUUGGUUAUUUUACCACUGCCACUGGCCCAUAAAGGUUGGCUGAUCUGACUACUAUUUCAAAUUCUUACUUAAAUUCCAUCAACAAAUGAUUAUUUAUUACAUUUAUUUAUUAAUUUUGUGUUGGCAAUGAUUGCAGGAGAGGAAAAAAAUGAAACACAAAGUCAAGCUGUGGACUUUGGCCCAAAAAAUGAUGGAAAUGACAAUUUCAGACAAGAAGAUCCCUAAUAAAAAGAGAGCCUUGGGUCAAAAUAGACGUGCUGGUUAUUUCAGUGUAGCCAUGGAGGGCUCGGAUGUGGAUUGGUGCAGCAGCACCAAGAGAAAGGGAAUGCUGAGUUCAAACCCACACUGCUGUUCUACCAUUGGGCUAAAAAUGCUGGCACCCAGCCUGAGGUGCAUGUGAUUCAGAUACAAAUUGUAGCCCCUUUGCAGCUGAUUUUAGAAAUACAGAGAUGGGCGCUAUUCUGUGUGUGUAGCGGGCGGCAGUUAUUGUUUUGCUUCUUACUAUGUUAUGUCUUUUUGUAAACUGCCCUGUGAUCC
rnacentral:lncRNA from 1 species